rnacentral:ncRNA from 1 species
UAAAAGUUUUAUUUUGGCUUGGGAUUUUAGUUUAUAAUUAAUUUUACAUGUAAAUUUUUGUGAGUAAAAAUUUUUAUUUUAAUAGUAAAUGUUUAUUAAUAUUCGCAGUAUAAAAUUUUAAAUUUUAAGGUUAAUUAGAUUUAGUAAUUUAUAAAAGCAUUAACAAAUUUUGUGCCAGCAGUUGCGGUUAGACAAAAAAUGUUAUUAAAAUUUUUUUGGUAAUAAUUAAUUUAAAUAUUUAAUUGGUUUAAGUAUAGAUUUAUUAGGUGAAAUUUUAAAUUUAUUAUAAAUUAAUUUAUAGUUUAUGAAGUUAAUAAAUUUGUUAUUAAACUAGGAUUAGAUACCCUAUUAUUAUUAAUGUAAAAUAGUUACUUAAUCAGUAUUAGUUAUGUUCUUGAAAAUUAAAAAAUUUGGCGGUAUUUUAGUCUUUUCAGAGGAACCUGCCCUAUAAUCGAUAAUCCACGAUUAAUUUUACUUAUAGUGUUUAAUUUGUAUAUCGUCGUAGUUUGAAUAUUUUAAAAGAAUAAAAUGUUCAAUUUUAUUUAAAAGUAAAGAAAUCAGAUCAAGGCGCAGUUUAUAAAUAAGGAGAGGUGGGUUACAAUAAAUUUAUUUUUGGUUUAAUUGAUGAAAUUUUUUAAUAAAGUGGAUUUGAAAGUAAUUUUUAUAUUUAUAUAAAAUGAUUUAAGCUCUAAAAUAUGUACAUAUCGCCCGUCGCUUUCAUUUUAAGAUGAAAUAAGUCGUAACAUAGUAGGCUUACUGGAAAGUGAGCCUAGAAAGCA